rnacentral:lncRNA from 10 species
CGAAGGCCAGCCAGGAAAGGCGGGAAGCUGCAAGCACGGGUUAAGUGGAGCCUGGCCAGUAGGGUGUACAGGAAGGAAAUGCAGAGGGCUCCUGGCUGCAGCACCCAGGAGAGUAAUGGUAAUAUUUCAGCACUCUCAACCCCCAAGUUUUCCUAGGAGAUCAAACAGAAGGCAAUAUACAUAAGAAGACUUACUGAGUAAGAAGGAGCGAAGAGACCGAAUGGUGAAUUUUGGUUCCAAACUCCGUACAGAUCCCUGAACUGAGGAGGCAAGAUCAGUUUGGCAGUUGAAGCAGCUGGAAUCUGCAAUUCAGAGAAUCUAAGAAAAGACAACCCUGAAGAGAGAGACCCAGAAACCUAGCAGGAGUUUCUCCAAACAUUCAAGGCUGAGGGAUAAAUGUUACAUGCACAGGGUGAGCCUCCAGAGGCUUGUCCAUUAGCAACUGCUACAGUUUCAUUAUCUCAGGGAUCACAGAUUGUGCUACCUAUUGCCUACCAUCUGAAAACAGUUGCUUCCUAUAUUUCAUCCAGUUUAAUAUUUAUUUAAACCAAGAAGGUUAAUCUGGCACCAGCUAUUCCGUUGUGAGUGGAUGUGAAAGUACCAAUUCCAUUCUGUUUUACUAUUAACUAUCCUUUGCCUUAAUAUGUAUCAGUAGGUGGCUUGUUGCUAGGAAAUAUUAAAUGAAUGGCAUGUUUCAUAGGUUGUGUUUAAAGUUGUUUUUUGAGUUAAAUCUUUCUUUAAUAAUACUUUCUGAUGUCAAAAACACUUAGAAGUCAUGGUGUUGAACAUCUAUAUAGGGUUGGAUCUA